GAUGAACGCUGGCGGCGUGCUUAACACAUGCAAGUCGAACGAUGAAGCCCAGCUUGCUGGGUGGAUUAGUGGCGAACGGGUGAGUAACACGUGAGUAACCUGCCCUUAACUCUGGGAUAAGCCGGGGAAACUGGGUCUAAUACCGGAUAGGAGCGCCUACCGCAUGGUGGGUGUUGGAAAGAUUUAUCGGUUUUGGAUGGACUCGCGGCCUAUCAGCUUGUUGGUGAGGUAAUGGCUCACCAAGGCGACGACGGGUAGCCGGCCUGAGAGGGUGACCGGCCACACUGGGACUGAGACACGGCCCAGACUCCUACGGGAGGCAGCAGUGGGGAAUAUUGCACAAUGGGCGAAAGCCUGAUGCAGCGACGCCGCGUUAGGGAUGACGGCCUUCGGGUUGUAAACCUCUUUCAGUAGGGAAGAAGCGAAAGUGACGGUACCUGCAGAAGAAGCACCGGCUAACUACGUG
rnacentral:rRNA from 1 species